UACGGAGGGGCGAGCGUUGUUCGAAGUUACUGGGCGUAAAGCGCGUGUAGGCGGGUUGCCAAGUCCGCUGUGAAAGCCCGAGGCUCAACCUCGGAGGGUCGGUGGAUACUGGCAGUCUUGAAGGUGCUAGGGGGAGAUGGAAUUACCGGUGUAGCGGUGAAAUGCGUAGAGAUCGGUAGGAACACCAGUGGCGAAGGCGGUCUCCUGGGGCAUUCUUGACGCUGAGACGCGAAAGCGUGGGGAGCAAACAGG
rnacentral:rRNA from 1 species